GUGCUGGCUUCAGCAGCACAUAUACUAAAAUUGGAAGAAUGCAGAGAAGAUUAGCAUGGCCCCUGCACAAGGAUGACAUGCAAAUUUGUAAAGCAUUCCAUAUUUUU
ensembl:snRNA U6 U6 spliceosomal RNA